UUCUCCACUGGGGGAAUUAAUACACGUGGCAUUUCAUUCCCGUAUUGGGCUAUUGAGUUCUGAGGCCCUUUUUGGUCAUGUCCAUUCAUCUAUAACGGGCUGACACGAAAUAAAACAGCCCAACUACCUCCUUCGUCGUCCUCUCGCUAGCCGUAGCUCCGAUCACCUCCUAAAAACGCCAUCAAAACGCCACCCUCACAGCAAAAUCAAACUUCUCAUCUACUCCCACUAACACACUACGUCUUACUAAAUUACCCCGUACUAAUCAUUGAAGAUCGCGAGACCAGUAGCGCUUUUGUUUUAUACAUAGUUGCGCCUCUACGUGUUGUUGAUCUCAGGUUAGUGACGUCGUAGUUUAGAUCGAUAGGCAGCAAGUUGGUGGGGAGAAUCUUGCGGAUAAUGGGAUUACGCUGCAUUCGAUGAUUAGGUUGACAUACAUAAUUAGGGUUUUGAAGGAGAUGGGGAAGAUCGAAGAGGGAGGGGAAGCGAACUUGCUCAAGUUUCUAAAGGAGAAACAUAGGGUUAGUGUUCAAGGAAAGGUCAGAGACAUAAUCUGAUGGGUAAGAAGCUGUUUGAGGCUAUAACGAAGAAAGAAACCAAUCGCUAGAUCUGGGGAUGAACCAUUAUCUGCAACUUUUAAAAAGAUUUUGAAUUGUUUCUGAGUCUGUCUGAAUCAAAGUAUAUAGAGUCUGAUGGAGUUGUUGAUUCUCUCACCAAAGGUAUAGUUUCUUUAUAUAUAUAGUCUCUGUAAAAUCUUGGAUUCAUACUUUAUGAUGCUUUGGUUUUUGGUAGUCCCAGCUCUUGGUUUUUCUAUGAUCCUUCUUUGGUUUUGCUUCAGAUUCAUUCAGCAUAAGCUAGGAGUCUCUGACUACGAGAAGCUAAAAAGCUUAGAAGUUUGAUCUUAAAAUAAAAUACAAUGAGCUUUUAGCUAAACCUCAGGAACCCUCAAAGAGGUAUUACAUCAUUGAACCAUCUACUGUUGAUUAGCACAUGAUUCCAUUCUUAUGUAGUUACUUAGUAUUGUUUUCACAAUAGUUUUUUCACCAUCCAUAAGCAGUUCAGAGAUCUUGAGGAUCGCUAGAGGCGAGGAGCUAAGUCCUCUCUCCGGAGUUUUUAUCGCCUUCCACCGCUUCUUCUCGCAUCACAGACCAUUAUUGUCGGUUGUUCAAUGCCACGGCGGUGAAGAAGGUUAAUAGUUGGGACGAUUAUUGUUGGGAAGAUGGAUAUGGAUGAAUUCGGUAUGGGAAGCCCAACUGAAGCUUUCGUCCUUUCAGGUAACUGCGAAGUCUUGGGACUUGACACAUGUAGCGGGAAGUUCAUCAGGAGGAUCAGCAGCAGCUGUUGCAGCAAUAUAAUGUAUGGUAGUGAUACUGGUGGGAGUGCGAGAUAGCUAGCUUCGCUUUGUGGUGUUGUGGUCUUAAGCCAACUUACGAGGUUUGGACUAAUGGCCUAUGCAUCUUCGUUGGAUGUCAUUGGUUGAUUUAGCUCUGCGUUUGCUGAUGCUAGGAUGCUUAUGAGAGGGUUGAAUCCACGAGUAGCAAACAGUUUCAAGGGAGUGAAAGGUGGUCCAUCCGCGAGAUGCUUGAAGAUGGUGUUUAUUCUGGAGUGAGAUAUGCAGCUUAGAAGCAUUGGGUUGUGUACGGACAGAGGUUUUCUUUCCGUCAUUCUCUCUUGGACUACCAGCUUAAUAUGUGGUGCAUGAUGAAUUAAUGUGGACAGAGUUUUGGAGUUGACGCAGAAGUGAGGAAGGUCCAGCUGAAAAGAGUUCUUAGUGAGGAGCUUCGCCAAAUAAUCUGAUGAUCUGAUCCCAUUUUGCUGGCUUUGGAUUGGUGUUAUAAUAUUCCCGUUCUUUUCUUCUUGCAACACUCUUAUUAUUAUGGGUGUGAACGGUCCACGAUCCCAACCCAAGGAUGUUACAGCCUGUAUCUCUUCCCUCGAGAAUCUUAUUAAGGCAAUAAUUACUUUAUGUUAGGAACAAAUUUUCUAAAGAACAUGAACACACCUUGAUUUGGUGACUGUUAUUAUCCAAGCUUAGCUUACUGAGAAUAACAAAUGUCAUGUAAGGUUCGAAAGUCAGAAUAGACCAUGUCAUCUGAAACAAAAAAAAAGAUGGAAGAUGUGUUUACUUCUAAUGCGUUAGUUCUUUUGAACACAGUCCAUAUCAUCAUUUGAGUUCGUAUUCUUAGAAAAAAUAUUAAAGUGCCAAAAAUUCAUAAGUAAAUAUACAAACUAAGAAAUAUUUAUAUUUGAAAUAUAAAAUCUAACCAAUUGUCAUCCUAAAAUUAUUAUUUUAUUUAUUAUCAUAAUCACAAGAAAUUUGUGAUCUCUAAUAAAACUAACAAAAAAAUAGUGAAAGUUACAUUAACAACUAAAAUCACAUUAACAUUUUCAAAUGUUCAUUCAAAUGUAAGAUGUUUCUAUAUUAUCUUCCAAUUUACAAAGAUAAUAUUUUUCUGAGCACUUACAAAGAUAGUCUAAGAAAUGAAUAAGCAAGUUAAAAGGAAAGUGUUUCAUCGGUUUUCAAAGGUUCCAAGGAGAUACGACGAGGCAACUUUUUGUUAAUGCACAAGCUGCCACAACUAUGUUUAUGGAAGCGUUAAGUGUUCAUCAUCUAAAUUAUCUUUCAUUCCUCUAAUUGGUAACUAGAAGUGACCUAAUUCAUAAGUGAUAACCAAUCUGCCAAUGCGGGAUGUCUAAUACCAAAAUGUGCUUAAAAGAAACAAACACUGAAAAUUAUUCGAUAGUAUAUAUUUCAAAAUCUCUAAUCUGUUGAUUUGAUGACAUGGUUGAUCAUCAAACACAAUAUUAUUGAAAAACAAAUAUGAAAAAAAGAUUAAUCUGAAUAAAAAGUAGUAGGGAAUUCAAGAAACAACGUUCAAAGCCGAAAAUAAUUUAUGGUUUGUGUUCUUAGAACCUAUUAUCAUAAUUAAAAUAGAACCUACUUUUUUAAAAAAAAUUGUUAAAGAAAAAACUACAUAUUCAUGUCAAACUUUUAAAAAUGAAAUAAUUAUAAUCGCCAAUAAAAAUAACAAAAUAAAUAAUAAAAUAAUUAAUUAACAAAAUUAAUGUAAUUAUUAACUGAGAGUAAACUAAAUAGUCCAUUUUCAAAUUCAUUAACACAAUAUCAAAUAACCUGCACGUAGCAGAUCUAUCACCGAAAUCUA